GACUGCAGCCUAUUAGGCUCCUCCGUCCAUGGGAUUUUCCAGGCAAGAGUACUGGAGUGGGGUGCCAUUGCCUUCUCCGAGGGUUCAAGCUAACUGAUGUUAAUUUAACAUAGUCACAACCUUCCACAAUGCAACGCAGAACAGCCCCCCAGGAUAUGCUGAACUGAAUUAAAAUGGAGAGGUUACGCCCUUGGUGGAAGAUUCACCUGGGAAGACUCGAUUCUGAGAUGCAUGUCCUGAGAGCACCAGGUGAAGGAGCCUGAGCUAAUUUGCCGGAGGGUGAACCCAGGAUCCAGCCCACAGCCAACUGCCAGACCUGACUCCUUUGAUUUGGGCCAAGUCCUUUCCAACAUACUGAGUGAGCCCUUUUAUCUAACUGGAUCUCAAAUCUCUACCUGAUUAUUACACUCCCACCAAGGGUCAUCAUUUAGGCUGUUGCCGGACAUUUACAUCCUUUUGUGAAUGAAGAUCAAGUCCUACUCAGGAGAAAGCAGAGGGCCAGGGUUUCUCCAGGAGUGCUUCCAUUUCAGGGACCCAGUCUCCGCUUCUCCUGCUGGUCCAUUAUCCACAACACCGAGAGAAGAAUUCGCGUUUUCUCUUUAUCCCUCCAGAGAUCAAGCCAGGAGUUCGGAGGGGCUGGAGGGCAGUGUUCUGUACAGCUUUCUUCCAACCGGAACAGAGAGGGGCUCACAUAUUUCCAGAGGAUCAAGAUGGGCUAGUCAUGUAACCACAGAGUUCUAAUGUGCCCACCCUGGCACCACUGCCAAGAACUUAUGAAAUUAACCCAGGGUCCGGCUCAUGAUGUGUCUAUGGUCAUCACAGGGCUAACCUGGCCUCUUGCCU